AACGAACGCUGGCGGCAUGCCUAACACAUGCAAGUCGAACGAAGCCUUCGGGCUUAGUGGCGCACGGGUGCGUAACGCGUGGGAAUCUGCCCUUGGGUUCGGAAUAACAGUUAGAAAUGACUGCUAAUACCGAAUGAUGUCUUCGGACCAAAGAUUUAUCGCCCAAGGAUGAGCCCGCGUCGGAUUAGCUAGUUGGUGAGGUAAAGGCUCACCAAGGCGACGAUCCGUAGCUGGUCUGAGAGGAUGAUCAGCCACACUGGGACUGAGAUACGGCCCAGACUCCUACGGGAGGCAGCAGUGGGGAAUAUUGGACAAUGGGGGCAACCCUGAUCCAGCAAUGCCGCGUGAGUGAUGAAGGCCUUAGGGUUGUAAAGCUCUUUUGCCAGGGAAGAUGAUGACUGUACCUGGAGAAUAAGCCCCGGCUAACUUCGUGCCAGCAGCCGCGGUAAU
rnacentral:rRNA from 1 species